rnacentral:rRNA from 1 species
GACGUAGGAUGCGAGCGCUGUCCGGAUUUAUUGGGCCUAAAGCAUCCGUAGCCGGUUCUACAAGUCUUCCGUUAAAUCCACCUGCUUAACAGAUGGGCUGCGGAAGAUACUAUAGAGCUAGGAGGCGGGAGAGGCAAGCGGUACUCGAUGGGUAGGGGUAAAAUCCGUUGAUCCAUUGAAGACCACCAGUGGCGAAGGCGGCUUGCCAGAACGCGCUCGACGGUGAGGGAUGAAAGCUGGGGGAGCAAACCGG